rnacentral:rRNA from 1 species
GUCGGGCUGAAGACUCUACUUGACUAGCUGAGAGGAGGUGCAUGGCCGUCGUCAGUUCGUACUGUGAAGCAUCCUGUUAAGUCAGGCAACGAGCGAGACCCACGCCAACAGUUGCCAGCUCGUCCUCCGGGAUGGUGGGGACACUGUUGGGACCGCCUCUGCUAAAGAGGAGGAAGGAAUGGGCAACGGUAGGUCAGCAUGCCCCGAAUUAUCCGGGCUACACGCGGGCUACAAUGGUCAGGACAAUGGGUAUCGACACCGAGAGGUGGAGGCAAUCUCCUAAACCUGUCCUUAGUUCGGAUUGUGGGCUGCAACUCGCCCACAUGAAGCUGGAAUCCGUAGUAAUCGCGUUUCAAAAUAGCGCGGUGAAUAUGUCCCUGCUCCUU